rnacentral:rRNA from 1 species
GACGAACGCUGGCGGCGUGCCUAAUACAUGCAAGUUGAACGCUAAAGCUUUAACUGGUGCUUGCACCGACUUAAGUUUUUAGAGUAGCGGACGGGUGAGUAACACGUGGGUAACCUGCCCAUCAGAGGGGGAUAACACUUGGAAACAGGUGCUAAUACCGCAUAAUUCCUUUUACCGCAUGGUAAAAGGCUGAAAGGCGCUUCUGGUGUCACUGAUGGAUGGACCCGCGGCGUAUUAACUAGUUGGUAAGGUAACGGCUUACCAAGGUGAUGAUACGUAGCCGAACUGAGAGGUUGAUCGGCCACAAUGGGACUGAGACACGGCCCAUACUCCUACGGGAGGCAGCAGUAGGGAAUCUUCCACAAUGGGCGCAAGCCUGAUGGAGCAACGCCGCGUGAAUGAAGAAGGUCUUCGGAUCGUAAAGUUCUGUUAUUAGAGAAGAACACGUGUAAGAGUAACUGAUUAUGCGUUGACGGUAUCUAAUCAGCAAGUCACGGCUAACUACGUGCCAGCCGCCGCAGUAACAC